rnacentral:rRNA from 1 species
GACGAACUCUGGCGGCGUGCUUAACACAUGCAAGUCGAACGGAAAGGCCCUGCUUUUGUGGGGUGCUCGAGCGGCGAACGGGUGAGUAACACGUGAGUAACCUGCCCUUGACUUUGGGAUAACUUCAGGAAACUGGGGCUAAUACCGGAUAGGAGCUCCUGCUGCAUGGUGGGGGUUGGAAAGUUUCGGCGGUUGGGGAUGGACUCGCGGCUUAUCAGCUUGUUGGUGGGGUAGUGGCUUACCAAGGCUUUGACGGGUAGCCGGCCUGAGAGGGUGACCGGCCACAUUGGGACUGAGAUACGGCCCAGACUCCUACGGGAGGCAGCAGUGGGGAAUAUUGCACAAUGGGCGGAAGCCUGAUGCAGCAACGCCGCGUGCGGGAUGACGGCCUUCGGGUUGUAAACCGCUUUCGCCUGUGACGAAGCGUGAGUGACGGUAAUGGGUAAAGAAGCACCGGCUAACUACGUG